UCCUGCAGCUAUUUUGAAAUAAAGUCUGUACUCUCGCUCAUUCAAAAUCAGCUAUUAAACCUGCUGCUAGAAUUUUCUUUGUAAGGCAUUAGCCAAGAAGCAUACGUAUUACUCUAUCACAAUUUUUAAAAUAUUUUGAUAACGGUAUCUCAAUAGAACUGUAAUCUUAGGUAUCACCAGCAUUUCUAAGUAUUAUUCAGAGAUGCCCGCAGGCUCCACUAGACUGCCAAAGGGAUUUGCAGUGUGACAGCAAACCCCUACCAGGGUUCGGAACCCCUACCAGGACCAGAAGAGGUGGGAUUGCUUAGGGCAGGGACAACCAUGUCCAAGGAGCUACACGGGGCAAAGGGGCUGGGCUUUGAUUCUGGCACAGGUAUGGUUAGAUAUGGCAAGGAGAGGCUCGACCCAACCUGAGUGCCAGGCAAACAGGAGAGUCCAGAAUAGCCCAGAGGGGGCGCCCCUUCCUGCAGUAGCACAAGGCACAGUCAAGGCAGCCCCAGAGGGAAAGCGCCCAGCCCUUUAGGGAACCUGUGGUCAUUUUUUGAAGAUCCGACUUUGAUUUUGGUCAGACCCGGCUUAAUCCUGCCUCCAUCACUCACUCUGGGCAACUUGCCUAAUCUAUCAUGAACCUCAGGGUCUCCAACUGUAAAAUAGUAAUAAUAAUACUUGCCCAAACAUUCUGUUCAAUAAUUUAUUUGUAAACGUUAUGUUGAACAAAGAAAGCAAGUUACGGAAUGACGGGUGUUUCAUUUAUGGAAAAUGUUAAGUGAUGCCAAACAAUGUUAUAUUAUGUUCACAGGUAAAGACUUUAGGUAGUAAAACAGAAAACCAUGCAGGAGAAUGCUGCAUCUCAAAUUCAAGUUGCUAGUGCUUAGUUUGGGGAGUGGAGGGAAAUAGGUUUGGGAGGCAUACAGGUGAGGGGGGAAGAAUCAGAAACGAAUCCAUAUGGCACAGGUUAAGAUUUGCUGAAGUUCAGCAGUGGGUUCUUUUUAGAGCUUUAUUUAAGUGAUCUAUAAUAACCUGAACGUACAAAAAUGUCCAACUUGGUAAGUUUUCAUGUGCGCGUUCCCUCAUGAAACCAUCAUCACCACCAUCAAGAUCAUGAACGUUUCUGCCAUCCUGAAAGUUUCCUCGUGCCCCUGUGGAAUCUCUCCAUCCUGCCUCUUCCCCAUUUUCCACUCCCAGGUGAUCGAUGAUCUGGUUUCCAUCACUGAUCAGCUGGAGUCUUCUAGACUUGUUAUAUCACUGGAAUCAACCGGCAGAAUACACCCGGUGGAAGGAAGUACCUCAACUCCCAGAACCAAAUUUCCACUACCAAUGGUUGUUGUGGCCACUUGGUGAAUUAAAAAGAAUCACCCUUUCCUCGGAGCUCUUCACUAUCAACUGCCCCAAAACAGUCCUGGUUAGGAUGACACUACAGCCAAUACUGCCCCGUGGAUUUGUGAAAUGAACAACCUGCUCAACAGCACAGAUCCAGUGGCUCUACCUGUGCCCACCCCCUCCCCACCUCCACCCCCCACCUUCUUUCCCAGGGUUACUACCCGAGAUCGGUCCCUCCACCUGUGUUCUGCACACCCCUCUCCUCCCAUCCUGUCGUCUUUGCCCUCAUAAACUAUUCUUGGGUGUGUGUCCAUUUGGUCAUGGGCUGACCAACGUUAAAAAUCCCUGGCUCCUCUUCAUCAAUGUUUGAACAAACAGGUUUCUCCAAUCUUUUAAAAUAAAAUUAGCAUCCUCUUUCCA